GUGCCAGCAGCCGCGGUAAUACAGAGGGUUGCGAGCGUUAAUCGGAUUUACUGGGCGUAAAGCGUGCGUAGGCGGCUUUUUAAGUCGGAUGUGAAAUCCCUGAGCUUAACUUAGGAAUUGCAUUCGAUACUGGGAAGCUAGAGUAUGGGAGAGGAUGGUAGAAUUCCAGGUGUAGCGGUGAAAUGCGUAGAGAUCUGGAGGAAUACCGAUGGCGAAGGCAGCCAUCUGGCCUAAUACUGACGCUGAGGUACGAAAGCAUGGGGAGCAAACAGGAUUAGAUACCCUGGUAGUCC
rnacentral:rRNA from 1 species